ACUUUUAACCAAAAUCCUACUUUAGCUUCUUGAAUCCGGUUGCGGUUCUAGUUCUUAUGCUCAACGAUACACAAAGCAUCUAGUCAUAUGUGACUAUAAAUACGCUAAC
rnacentral:sRNA from 1 species